rnacentral:rRNA from 1 species
GUCGAGGGGUAUAGUAGCAAUACUAGAGACCGGCGCACGGGUGCGUAACGCGUAUGCAAUCUACCUUAUACAGAGGGAUAGCCCAGAGAAAUUUGGAUUAAUACCUCAUAGCAUAGCAACUUCGCAUGAAGUCACUAUUAAAGUUCCAACGGUGUAAGAUGAGCAUGCGUCCUAUUAGCUAGAUGGUAAGGUAACGGCUUACCAUGGCUACGAUAGGUAGGGGUCCUGAGAGGGAGAUCCCCCACACUGGUACUGAGACACGGACCAGACUCCUACGGGAGGCAGCAGUGAGGAAUAUUGGACAAUGGGCGCAAGCCUGAUCCAGCCAUGCCGCGUGCAGGAAGACGCAUCUAUGGUGUGUAAACUGCUUUUGUACGGGAAGAAACACUCCCUCGUGAGGGAGCUUGACGGUACCGUAAGAAUAAGGAUCGGCUAACUCCGUGCCAGCAGCCGCGGUAAUACGGAGGAUCCAAGCGUUAUCCGGAAUCAUUGGGUUUAAAGGGUCCGUAGGCGGUUUGGUAAGUCAGUGGUGAAAGCCCAUCGCUUAACGAUGGAACGGCCAUUGAUACUGCCAGACUUGAAUUACUGGGAAGUAACUAGAAUAUGUAGUGUAGCGGUGAAAUGCUUAGAU